rnacentral:rRNA from 3 species
GGAAUACCCGCUGAACUUAAGCAUAUCAAUA